AGUGUUACCUAUCCGUGCAGACAGUGCAAGUUCAGACGAGGACCAGGAAAAAUCACCACUAAGGCUAGUUAAGGUAUCAUCUAAGAAAAGCAAACAUGGGUCCAACAUUUUAAGAACUAUGCAGCGGAAGGGGACCAUUUUCCUUAUUGAUCCUGAAGUGUGUCAAUUUAUAGAUGAAAUUCGCAAAGACAAAAUGAAAAAUGAAA